UACGUAGGGCGCAAGCGUUGUCCGGAAUUAUUGGGCGUAAAGAGCUCGUAGGCGGUCUGUCGUGUCCGUUGUGAAAACUCGAGGCUCAACCUCGGGCUUGCAGUGGAUACGGGCAGACUAGAGUGCGGUAGGGGAGACUGGAAUUCCUGGUGUAGCGGUGGAAUGCGCAGAUAUCAGGAGGAACACCGAUGGCGAAGGCAGGUCUCUGGGCCGCAACUGACGCUGAGGAGCGAAAGCAUGGGGAGCGAACAGG
rnacentral:rRNA from 1 species